rnacentral:pre_miRNA from 1 species
AACCUACUUCCUCCGUUCCGAAUUACUUGUCGCAAAAAUGGAUGUAUCUAGAUAUAUUUUAGUUCAAGGUACAUUCAUUUCUGCGACGUGUAAUUUGAAACGGAGGGAAUAAUAU